GAUCAUGGCUCAGGAUGAACGCUAGCUACAGGCUUAACACAUGCAAGUCGGAGGGGCAGCAUGGUCUUAGCUUGCUAAGGCUGAUGGCGACCAGCGCACGGGUGAGUAACACGUAUCCAACCUGCCGUCUACUCUUGGCCAGCCUUCUGAAAGGAAGAUUAAUCCAGGAUGGGAUCAUGAGUUCACAUGUCCGCAUGAUUAAAGGGUAUUUUCCGGUAGACGAG
rnacentral:rRNA from 1 species